UACGUAGGGUGCAAGCGUUGUCCGGAAUUAUUGGGCGUAAAGAGCUCGUAGGCGGUUUGUCGCGUCUGCUGUGAAAACUCGAGGCUCAACCUCGAGACGUCGGUUGAAACCAUCUGGCUAGAGUCCGGAAGAGGAGUGUGGAAUUCCCGGUGUAGCGGUGAAAUGCGCAGAUAUCGGGAAGAACACCCGUGGCGAAGGCGGCACUCUGGGACGGUACUGACGCUGAGACGCGAAAGCGUGGGGAGCAAACAGG
rnacentral:rRNA from 1 species